UACGAGGGGGGCAAAUGUUGUUCGGAAUCACUGGGCGUAAAGGGAGCGUAGGCGGGCUCUUAAGUUAGGUGUUUAAUCCCGGGGCCCAACCCCGGUCGUGCACUUAAAACUGGGAGUCUUGAAUAGUGGAGAGGUCAGUGGAAUUGGGGGUGUAGCGGGUGGAAUGCGUAGAUAUGUGGAGGAACACCGAUGGCGAAGGCAGCCCCCCUGGGUCAAAACUGACGCUCAUGCACGAAAGCGUGGGGAGCAAACAGG
rnacentral:rRNA from 1 species